AUGCUAUUCGUCAUUGCCAUGGAUGUCUUGACGGCCAUGAUUAAAAAGGCUACUGAAGUUGGAGUGCUCAGUACGACACCUGGGAUAUCUCCUACACAGAGACUGUCCAUAUAUGCUGAUGACGUGGCCAUGCUCAUCAAGCCGACUUGUAUGGACCUGAGCUUCAUAAGGAAUGCCCUUGAUGCUUUUGGCACUGCCUCGGGUCUGCGAGUAAACUACAGGAAGUCAUCAGCAAUUGCGAUCCGAGGAGACCAUGAAGAUAAAGCCAGAGUGGCCACGUUUCUAGAGUGCAAUCAGGCAGAUUUCCCUUGCAAGUACCUUGGCUUGCAGCUUGCUAUAAAAAGCCUAACUAGGGCAAAUUGGCAGCCAAUGUUGGAUCAGGUCCGGUACUUUGUCCCAGCUUGGCAAAGGGGUCUCAUCCAGAGGCCGGGGAGACUCAUCUUGGUGCAAUCCGUCAUCUCGGCAAGACCUAUUCACCACCUUAUGGUUGUGGAUGCUCCGGCAUGGGUGUUUGAGGAAAUUAACAAGUGGAUGAGAUCUUUCUUUUGGGCUGGAAAGGACAAGAUAAAUUGUGGCCAAUGCCUAGUCGCGUGGGACACCAUCUACCAGCCAAAGUGCUACGGAGGGCUUGGCAUCAAAAACCUAAAUUGGCAAGCUUUGGCGUUGAGAGUCAGGUGGGAGUGGCUUAAGCGCACGGAGCCUAGCAGACCGUGGCAAGGGCUGCAUAUGAUUGAGGAUAGGGACACUCGAGAGCUUUUUGACAGCCUUGUGCAUAUCACGGUCGGUAUGGGAGACCGGAUUCUCUUUUGGCGAGACCAAUGGAUACAUGGCUUUGCCGUAGCUGAUGUCGCUCCCUUGUUGCAAGACACUGUGCAGUCGAGGGUGGCAAAUACUAGGACUGUGCAACAUGCGCUGACCAAUGAUAGAUGGCAAGGGGACUGUCAGGUUACUUCCUUCAUGGCGCAAUUGCAGUUUGUGCAUCUUUGCCAUGCGAUCACAACGGUGGAGAGAAAUCAGGACCAAGAGGACGGGUUCACCUGGACUUGCACGGCUACGGGUCAGUACUCGGCUCGCGCUAUCUAUGCCAACUUAUGCUCUGGGCUGCCAAGAUCGCCUAUGAGCGCGUGUGUGUGGAGGAGCUGGGCCCCGCUUAAGUGCAAGAUUUUCGCUUGGCUAGCGAUGCAGUAUAGGCUCUGGACUUUCGACCGCCGCGCAAGACACGGCCUGCACGACGAGCCAUCAACUUGCUACACGUGCUUGCAAGAUGAGGAUAACGUAGAUCACAUUCUAUCGACAUGCGGAUAUGUGCGUGAGGUUUGGUUCCUUAUUUGGGACACGCUCCGAAUCAACGUGCAGGAUCAUCUACCUGACGAUACGACCCUUGAUUGGUGGUUGCGAGAGAGAAAACAAUUCCACAAGGAUGACAAGCGAGGGUUUGACACGUUGAUCAUUGCGGGCAUGUGGGCUCUUUGGAAGCAACGCAAUGCUAGGGUCUUCAAUAGAGCUGAUCAACAAAAGGAUACUAGGGAGCUUGCCACUAUGAUCCUUGGUGAGGUAGCCGAGUGGAGGCAAGCAAGUGGUGGUGUUGGUGGCCUACAACGUGUUGUGAGAAAUUAG
rnacentral:rRNA from 1 species